rnacentral:rRNA from 1 species
UACGGAGGGUCCAAGCGUUAUCCGGAAUUAUUGGGCGUAAAGAGCUCGUAGGCGGUUUGUCGCGUCGGCCGUGAAAACUUGGGGCUUAACUCCAAGCUUGCGGUCGAUACGGGCAGACUUGAGUUCGGCAGGGGAGACUGGAAUUCCUGGUGUAGCGGUGAAAUGCGCAGAUAUCAGGAGGAACACCGGUGGCGAAGGCGGGUCUCUGGGCCGACACUGACGCUGAGGAGCGAAAGCGUGGGGAGCGAACAGG